AUGGCAGGCCAAGGUCGCCAGAUCUAUCACCAUUGUUGUUCUUUUGGUCAAGACGGCCGUUGUCGACGUGCUCCUCCUAAAGCUCAUCCUCACCACCAUGGCUGGACGCUAGUGAGGUUAGCCUCCCCUCCAAGCGCAGAGAUCAGGCUGGGCUUGACUAGGUUUGGAGUCAUCUUCUCGUUUAGGAUCCUCAUGCUGCUUGACAAGGGGUUCCUCGCAAUGGUCAAUAUUCUCUUCGUCUCUGGUGUUUCACUAACCAUUGGGCUGAGUCAACUGUCCAGUUCUUCACAAAGCCUAAGAAUCGCAAGGCCAUAUACAUGUAAUAUUGAAUUAGGUACUUUUUCUAUCACUGGACUACACAAGUCAAUAGAGCUAAUGUUCAUCAUUAUUUUUGGAUCGUCCAUCUUUCAGUUGGAUUAA
rnacentral:rRNA from 1 species